ACCUUUCCUCAUCAGAUUCCUUUUCACUUUCUCACAGCCUACUGCAUUGAACGGUCCACUUACGUAAACACCUUCCCGUAAUCACUCCGAUCAUUAAAUCAACCAGCGUAGCACGACUAGUGCAAGCGUAGGGUUCAGUUCCAGUAGAAAAAAAUUCUAAGGUUUGGCAGAAAGCCAACCCCGUC